UAAAUAACAAAGUUAUUGCGACUCUCAUCACUUUUUUAUAUAUCCCCAUUAUUUUUACAUGAUACAAUAUAUGUUUGUUCAUAUGUCCUCGUUAAUUCUUUUAUUACUAAAACGAAUUGUAUACGUUUUUUUGAGGUGGAAGCACUAGAAGGUUACUCAUUCUAAAAAUGUUUGAAUCAUCAAACCGUAUUAAUUCAAGCACACAAUCAUCUUCUAUAGAUUCGAAUGUCUUGAUCGAUGGCUCUAUGCUUCAGUCAGUGGCUGAUUUACGUUGAGCUAGGGGUUACCGGGAACCUGUUCGAUCCGUAAUUUAUAGUGUUAACGUAUAUAGAAUAUUCCGAAGGAACCCCUUAAUAUUUUAUAGAGGAACCCUAUAAACAAAUGUGUACAGUGGUUCACUGGUUAAUGUCUGCAUUGCGUAACUUGAUGUCGCAUGUUCAAGUCUUGUUAAACUUGUUUUUUGCCCUUUUUUGCGUUUUUUUCUUUUUUUUUAAGUGAAAAACAAAUCAGGGACUUAGGGUUUAGUUCUUAUUCGCCUUUUGCCCCUUUCCUUUUUACUCUCAAACCAAAACACACAGACAUCAUCUCCACUCACUCAUCCACCAUUAUUACUACCACUCAUCCACCUUCUCCACUCUAGUCUCUACAGCCACUCGCCGGAGCAGUCACGCAGCCGGCAACCGGUCGCUGCAACCCCUUCUCCACUCUCCAGCCACCAUUAUAAACUAUCCCCUUGUAAUUUCGAUUGGGCUCUUGAUCAAGAAUGGCAGGUGACGUCGAUCGAAACAAAAUGAAAGACUAAGAGGGGUCAGGUGCUGCGAUCAACUACGACUCGCCUUACUACCUUCAGCCAUCUGAUUACCCUAAACAACUACACGUCAAUGAAUUUCUUACCGAUAGCAACCACGCCGAUUGGUCACAUGAGAUGACAAACUUUAUAUUCGCCAAAAACAAAGUUGAGUUCGUUGACGGAACAAUUAAGAAGCCAGAGAAAUCAUUCAGCGAAUACAUGCCCUGGAUGCAUGUUGAUGCCAUGAUAAAGGGAUAAUUAUGUUGCAUUUCAGUGGUGCCAAUUUUACUUUUAUCAAAACGGGUUUUAUAUAUAUAUAUUUAUUAA